CUCUGCUCCCCACCUGUUCCUCUCUUCCCUGCUUAUCUUUGCACCAUGCAAGCAAUCUCCUUGCAUGCUGGAGCCUGAGGCACUGGGUCUGGCCCCAGCCCAGCUGGUACCAGUGGUGCACAGCCCACAUGACUGCUACAGGGGCUGAGCUGGGCCCAGAGGCCAUGCUCCAUGCCCCAGGCUAGAACAGCAACUGAGUCUGCCAGCAUGGAACAAAGGGUGCUGUGAAUCCUGCUUAGAGUGCCUAGAACUACAAAGGAUUGUGAAAGAGAAACUUGAUCCCAGUCUGCAAACUUGCCAGAGUCUGCAGGCCCUGACCUAGCAAUCAAGUCUACACAGCUAGCCCCCCUGACGAAGACCUAUUGACUUUGGAGCCCCACAUAAGAGCAAGA